rnacentral:rRNA from 1 species
GCGUGUCUAAGGCAUGCAAGUCGACGGUCUCAUUCUUCGGAUUUAUGAUAGUGGCAACGGGAGAGUAACACAUUGGUAACCUACCUUAAAGACGGGAAUAACUCGAGGAAACUUGGGCUAAUACCCGAUGUGCUGAUUUUAUUAAUUAUCAUCAGUAAAGCUUCGGCGCUUUAAGAGGGGCCUAUGUCUCAUCAGCUUGUUGGUAAGGUAAAGGCUUACCAAGGCUAUGACGAGUAGCGGGUGUGAGAGCACGACCCGUCUCACUGGGACUGAGACACUGCCCAGACUCCUACGGGAGGCUGCAGUCGAGAAUCUUCCUCAAUGCACGAAAGUGUGAAGGAGCGACGCUGCGUGUUUGAAGAAGCCCUUCGGGGUGUAAAAAACUUUUCUCAGGGACGAACUAAUGACGGUACCUGAGGAAUAAGAGGCUGCUAAACUCGUGCCAGCAGCAGCGGUAAUACGAGUGCCUCGAGCGUUACCCGGAUUUAUUGGGCGUAAAGCGUGUGCAGGUGGUUUGAUAAGUCAAUGGUUAAAAACUCCAGCUCAACUGGAGAGAGGCCACUGAAACUAUCAGACUAGAGGCUGGAAGAGGCUAGUGGAAUUGCCGGUGUAGGGGUCAAAUCCGUUAAUAUCGGCAAGAACACUCAAUGCGAAAGCAGCUAGCUGGGACAGUCCUGACACUAAUACACGAAAGCGUGGGGAGCGAAGCGGAUUAGAUACCCGCGUAGUCCACGCCGUAAACGAUGUGCACUAGACAUUGGGAGUAUCGACCCUCUCAGUGUCGCCGCAAAAAGCUAACGCGUUAAGUGCACCGCCUGGGGAGUACGAGCGCAAGCUUAAAACUCAAAGGAAUUGACGGGGACUCGCACAAGCGGUGGAUCAUGUGGUUUAAUUCGACAAUAAGCGAAGAACCUCACCAAGGCUUGACAUGAUGCUGCAAGCCCUGAGAAAUCAGGGCCGCCUUCGAGGGUGCAUCACAGGUGCUGCAUGGUUGCCGUCAGCUCGUGCCGUGAGGUGUACGGUUAAGUCCGGAAACGAGCGCAACCCUUAUCCUAAUUUAUACUUUAUUAGGAAACUGCCUCGUAUAACGAGGAGGAAGGUGGGGACGACGUCAAAUCAGCAUGGCUCUUACGCCUUGGGCUACACACAUGAUACAAUGGUCAGUACAAAGGGUCGCGAAGCCGAAAGGUGAAGCUAAUCCCAUCAAAACUGAUCUCAGUUCGGAUUGAGGUCUGCAAUUCGACCUCAUGAAGAUGGAAUCGCUAGUAACCGUAAAUCAGAACGUUACGGUGAUACGUUCUCGAGUCUUGUACACACCGCCCGUCACGUCAAGAGAGUCGGUAAUGCCCGAA